rnacentral:rRNA from 1 species
UACGUAGGCAGCGAGCGUUGUUCGGAGUUACUGGGCGUAAAGGGUGCGUAGGCGGUCGGGUAAGUCUGAUGUGAAAUCUCACAGCUUAACUGUGAAACUGCAUUGGAUACUAUUCGGCUUGAGAGUUGGAGGGGGGACUGGAAUUCUUGGUGUAGCAGUGAAAUGCGUAGAUAUCAAGAGGAACACCAGUGGCGAAGGCGAGUCCCUGGACAACUUCUGACGCUGAGGCACGAAAGCUAGGGGAGCAAACAGG